rnacentral:rRNA from 1 species
CAGGGUACUUUUAUCGGCGGUGUCCACCUUUUUUCCAUUCCGAACAGAGCAGUUAAGCCCGCCAGAGCCGAUGGUACUACCGUAACAGGUGGGAGAGUAGGCCAGUGCCCGGA